GUGUUGGUAGUGCAGCGGUUGAGCACGCACCCCCUGAAUAGGGCGAAUUGUGGGUUCGAAUCCCACUUGACGCA